rnacentral:rRNA from 1 species
CUACGGGUGGCUGCAGUGAGGAAUAUUGCACAAUGGGGGAAACCCUGAUGCAGCAACGCCGCGUGGAGGAUGACGCAUUUCGGUGUGUAAACUCCUUUUAUGAGUCAAGAAAAUGACGGUAGCUCAUGAAUAAGCACCGGCUAACUCCGUGCCAGCAGCCGCGGUAAUACGGAGGGUGCAAGCGUUACUCGGAAUCACUGGGCGUAAAGGACGCGUAGGCGGGAUGUCAAGUCAGGUGUGAAAUCCUAUGGCUCAACCAUAGAACUGCGCUUGAAACUGGCAACCUAGAGUAUGGGAGGGGGAGAUGGAAUUAGUGGUGUAGGGGUAAAAUCCGUAGAUAUCACUAGGAAUACCGAAAGCGAAGGCGAUCUCCUGGAACAUUACUGACGCUAAGGCGUGAAAGCGUGGGGAGCAAACAGGAUUAGAUACCCCUGUAGUC